rnacentral:rRNA from 1 species
AUGAGACCCCUUCUUAAGAAGCUUGACAUGAUGCUAGGUCCUCAUGGAUGCAAGCUGACCAAGGGGGUCAAUGAUAGGUGUCAGCUCCUCAAAGAUGAUCUUGAAGAAAUAGCCACAUACCUUGAAGAUCUGUUAGAGGUGGAGGACCCUCCCCUGGCGGCCAAGUGCUGGAUGAAAGAGGCACAUGAGUUAUCUUAUGACAUCCUAGAUUGUAUUGACAACUUUGUGCCCCCUCACCAGUCUCUUGGCUACAAAUUUGACCACAACAUGACUCAUGUUAAGAUUCCCAAGAGGCUCAAGUGGCAGAAACAGAUUCAAUAUGCAGCUCCUGAUGUGUCAGGACAUGUUAUCUCCAAAACCAUCCGUUUUGAUGUAAUUUGUGCUCCCAGGAGGCUCAAGUGGUACCAACAGAUCGUUGAAAAGGUAUCAGAAUUUAGGAUUUAUGCCCAGGAGGUGGUUCGACGGUACGACAGAUACCAGGUCCACUGUUGUAGCACCUCGGUGGCAAGUAGAUUUUCGGCCAUUGGGCCUAUGAUGCCAAUGCCGCCACCGCCUUGUGAGAAAACUUGUUCCGGCCUAGUAAUUGAUGGUCGGAUGAGCAAGUUUAUCAACUCCCAGCUGGCUAAUGAUGAGAAUCGGCAGCUCAGGGUGGUGUCUAUUCACGGAUCUAGAUGUCUUGGUAAAACAAUGCUUGCCAAAGUGUUGUAUAAUAAAUUGGGGAGACAAUUCCAUUGUCGGGCUUUCAUCCGGGUGUCCAAAAAGCCUGAUAUGAAAAGGCUUUUCCGCGACAUGCUCUCACAAAUCCAGCGAAAGCAUCCCCAAGAAGCGAAGCGCUUCUGA